AGCGAUAGCUUAUUAUAGUCACUAAUUGGCUAUUAAAUUAAAUGCCUUCUCUCUCUGGUCCCUUAGAUUUAUUCCAUUUUCUCAGACGAGCUCAAAUGUCUGCAAUGGCGGCUUGCACUGUGAAUGUGCUCAGGUGACUGGCUCCAGCGACUCUGCUUCAUCGACGUGCUGCGUGGUGCUCAGAAAGUCUUGAUCCCAGUUUUGCAAGAGACAGGUAGGUUACACAAGGCAAUCUCAUCUGAUGUUGGAUGAUUUCAUUAAGGUACUUUCCUUUUUACUGUAUAAUCUUAAUCUGUCAUUGGUGAGAGAAAAAUUCUUGGGUAUAAUUGAGGUCAGGAUUGUGACCUAUGAGUUUUUGUAAACAAUUUUGUAAUAUUUCUAUUUAUAGUGAAAGAUAUGCAGCAGCUCGUCGUGAAUGUAGUCAUAAUUUGGUGAACCAUGUGAAUUGUAUGUCUUUUUAUUCCUCAUA